rnacentral:rRNA from 1 species
AACGAACGCUGGCGGCGUGGAUAAGACAUGCAAGUCGAACGCUAAUUUUUCAGUAGCAAUAUUGGAAAGUUGGAGUGGCGCAAGGGUGCGUAACACGUGGGUAAUCUACCGCGAAGACCGGAAUAACCCUGCUAGAAAAGUGGGCUAAUGCCGGAUGUGGGUUUACGGGGGCAUCUCCUGAAUCCUGAAGGUUGGGGACCGAAAGGCCUAACACUUUGCGAUGAGCCCGCGGCCUAUCAGCUAGUUGGUGAGGUAAAGGCUCACCAAGGCUAAGACGGGUAGCUGGUCUGAGAGGACGACCAGCCACACUGGAACUGAGACACGGUCCAGACACCUACGGGUGGCAGCAGUCGAGAAUUUUCACAAUGGGGGAAACCCUGAUGGAGCGACGCCGCGUGGGGGAUGGAAGGGCUUC